UUUCCGUAGGUGAACCUGCGGAAGGAUCAUUAUUGUAUAACCGAGGUGCGAGGGCUGUCGCUGACCCGAAAGGUCGUGCACGCCCAAGUGCCCUCGCACACAUCCAUCUCACCCCUAUGUGCACCACCGCGUGGGUCCCCCUUUGGCUUGUUCGGAGGGGGGCUUACGUUUUCACACAAAUUUUGUAUGCAGUGUAGAAUGUAUUUUUUGUUUUUGCGAUCACGCAAUCAAUACAACUUUCAACAACGGAUCUCUUGGCUCUC
rnacentral:misc_RNA from 1 species